UCUAGAGCUAACUACUAUAAACAUUUCAGGGCAUUUCCUUCUAAUGUUUUUUUUUUUUUCCUAUCCUUUCAUGUGACAUUUGCAAUUUUGUUUCUGGCUUUUUCACUUCAUAUAAUAAAAUAGCAAUUCCCCAACAUUUUCCUGAACAUUACUGGAUAUAACAAUUUCCUUAGCCAUUCCCUUAUGAAUGGAUGCUUGGUUAUGUCCAGCUGUAUUUAAUAUUGUGAAUAAUGCAGUAACAUGGUGCUUUGAUAUUGCUCUUUAAUGUCUGUGUUCCAUUUGUCCAAUAAGGCUCAGAUCUUUGAAGAAUCUGUCUUUUCUUCCCUUUCCAUCCACCUACAUCUUUCCAGGGUGGUGCUCAGUCCAGAGUAGACUCAUUUAAGUCCUUAUUAUGGCCCUAUUCUGAGCACUUGAUACAUAGCAAAGCAUUUAAUCCUCACAACUUCCCUGUGAGGUAGGUAAUAUUAUUACCAUCCCUUUUGUCCAAGGUCAUUGGCUAGUAAUGAUGCAGAGGCAGAAUUUGAAUCCAGGUAGCCUGGAUCCAGAGUCUGAAUGCUGAACCAUCAGUCAUCUUGCUUUCCUGUCAUGCUAGUGGUGGAGGGAAUUAAAAAUGAGACAGCCAGCCAUCCCAGCUCUGUGGGUGGAUUGGUCUCAUGUUCAAAAUCUGUCACCUAAGCUUCAUCCUUCAUUUGAAAAUGGAUAAGGGAAGUGAUAUGGUUUGGCUGUGUCCCCACCCAAUUCUCAUCUUGAAUUCCCACAUGUUGUGAGAGGGACCCAGUGGGAGGUAACUGAAUCCUGGGGGCAGGUCUCUCCUGUGCUGUUCUCAUGAUAGUGAAUAAGUCUUACAAGAUCUGAUGGUUUUAUAAGGGGGAAUCUCCCCGCACAAGCUCUCUUUUUGCCUGAUGCCAUCCAUGUAAGAUGUGACUUGCUCCUCCUUGCCUUCUGCCAUGAUUGUGAGGCAUCCCCAGCCAUGUGGAACUGUAAGUCCAUUAAAUGUCUUUCUUUUGUAAAGUACCCAGUCUCCAUAUGUCUUUAUCAGCAGUGCCAAAAGAAACUAAUACAGGAAGUGAUAAAGUCAGAAAAGCUGGGGAGUACAGGGAAAGUGAUUCAGCUUCAACCCACAAGAUUGGAGCUUCCAACUGUCCCCAGCCUUGCACAGUCCUCUUUCCCCGCACAGCACCAGAGAGUUCUUUCUCAAAUGCAAAUCUGAUCCUGUCACUUUCCUGCAAGGCUCUCUGUCGCACUCAGGAUAAAAUCCCCAAACCCAUAACUGGCAUGCAAGGUCAUCUCUUGCCCCGUGUCUCUACUCCUGGCCUGACUUCUCUCUGCCUCAGUUCUUUCAGGUCCUGCAAACCCCACCGCUCUGUUUCAUCCCUGUACCUGUUGUAUCUUGGCCUGGAGAGCUUUUCCCUACCUCGCCCCUGCUCAUUGUCCUUUGGCCCUGCUCACUCUAAGUCUCUGUUUAAACACUCCUGUCUUCCGCCGGGCGCGGUGGCUCACGCUUGUAAUCCCAGCACUUUGGGAGGCCAAGGCGGGCAGAUCACGAUGUCAGGAGAUUGAGACCACGGUGAAACCCCGUCUCUACUAAAAAUACAAAAAAUUAGCCGGGCAUGGUGGCAGGCGCCUGCAGUCCCAACUACUCGGAGAGUCUGAGGCAGGAGAAUGGCGUGAACCCGGGAGGCGGAGCUUGCAGUAAGCCGAGAUCGUGCCACUGCACUCCAGCCUGGGUGACAAAGCGAGACUCUGUCUCAAAAAAACAAAAACAAAAACGAACAAACAAACAAAAAAAAAACAAAAAGUACACUCCUGUCUUCUAUCUAGAAAGUCUUCUUCAAAGCCCUUAAUUGGAUCGUGUUCCCUGGUUAAACACAUACCUUUCUCUUGACAUGAAUUACAUUUUGUAAUUGCUUUUCUUAAAAAAAAAAAUUUUUUUUUUAUUAUGGAAAAAUUCAAACAUAAGAAAAAAAAGAAGAGUAUUCUAAUCACCCAACUUCAACAAUUAUCAACCCACAGCCAAUCUGGUUUCACCUAACCCCCCAUCUACUUCCCUCCUCCUGUCUUAUUUUUAAACAAUAAAACAGAUCGUUUUAUUUAAUCUGUAAAUGUUUUAUUUAGCAAGUUUCUCUAAAAGAUAAGCACUUUUAAAAUCAUAGUUACAAUAUCAUUAUCAUGCUUUUAAAAGGCCAAUUAUGCUUGUUUUUUUCUUUUUCAACUUUUUAUUUUGAAAAAUUUAAAACUUACAGAAAAGUUGCAAACUAUCUGAGACUAAGUCGCAUAUGUUAUGAUCUUUUAUCCUUAAACAUUUCCACAUAUAUUUCCCCAAAACAAGGAAAUUCUUUGAUAUAACCAAAAUAUAGUGAGCACAUUCAGGAAAUUUAAGGUUGAUACAAUAAAAGAUCUACAAUAAAAUCCAUAUUCAAACUUUGCCAUAUGUCCCAAUGAUGUCCUUUACAACAGGGGUCCCCAACACCUGGGCCACGGACUGUAUAGGUUAGUGACCUUUUAGGAACCAAGCUGCACAGCAUCUCCACCUCCUGUUGGAUCAGCAGCAGCAUUAGAUUCUCAUAGAGGUGCAAAUUCUAUUGUGAGCUGCGCGUGUGAGGGAUCUAGGUUGUGUGCUCCUUAUGAGAAAGUAAUGCCUGAUCUUGAGGUAGAACAGUUCCUUCCAAAACCAAAAAUUCCUCCCCCAGUCCGUUGAAAAACUGUCUUCUACAAAUACAGUCCCUGAUGCCAAAAAGGUUGGGAACCACAGUUUUCGCAGAAAUUUUUUCUUUUUUUGAGACAGGGUCUCACUCUGUCAUCCAGGCUGGAGUGCAGUGGUGUGAUCAUAGCUCACUGUAGCCUCGACCUCCCAGGCUCAAGUGAUCCUUCCAGCUCAGCCUUCCGGGUAGCUGGGACUACAGGCACAUGCUACCACAUCCAGCUAAUUUUUUUUAAAAAUUAUUAUUUUUUUGUUUUGUAGAUACAGAGUCUUCCUAUGUUGCCAGGGCUGGUCUCAAACUCCUGGGCUCAAACGAUCAUACUGCCUUGGUCUCCCAAAGUGCUGGGAUUACAGGUAUGAGCCACCGCGCCCAGCUCUUUACAGAAAUUUUUUUCCAAUCCUCCAGUAUCCAAUCCAGAAUCAUGCAUUGCAUUUAGUUGUCCUGUCUCUCUCUCUCUCUCUCUCUCUCUCUCUCUUUUGGAGACAGGAUCUCACUCUGUCACCUGGACUAAAGUGCUAGGCUUAAGUGAUCCUCCACCUCAGCCUCCCAAGUAGCUGGGACUACAGAUGCAGGCAACUGACCUGGAUAAUUAUUUUUAUUUUUGUAGAGACAAGGUCUUGCCAUGUUGCCCAGGCUGGUUUUGAACCCCUGGCUUCAAGUGAUCCUCCUGCCUCGGCCUCUCGAAGUGCUGGGAUUACAGGCGUGAGCUACCACACCCAGCCUCCUGUCUCUUUAGUGCCCUUUAAUCUGGAACAGUUCAUUCCUCUUUCAUGGCAUUGAUAUUUCUGAAGAGCACCUGCCAGCUGUUUUGUAGGCCAACCCUGAAUUUAGGCUUGCCUGAUGGUUUCCUCCUGGUUCUGCAUUCCUCAGGUUCCACAUCAUGGGCAGGAGUGGUACCUAGGGGAGUCCUAAAGGCUGCAUCGGGAGGCAGAUGUCCAUUGCUUCAUCAUGAUGAAGCUGAUUGCUUAAGGUGCCCUAUAAUUGCUUUUUAAAUUUCAAAUGAUCUGGGGCUUUUUUUCUGCUAGACUGUGAGCUUGAUGAGGGCAGAAGUCAUGUCUGUUAUCUCCAUCUUUGUA
rnacentral:lncRNA from 1 species